AAGUCGUAACAAGGUUUCCGUAGGUGAACCUGCGGAAGGAUCAUUAUCGAAACGAAUGGAAUGGGGGAGCAAGACGGCAAAGCAAAAGACUGUCGCUGGCUAGAUUCAUUUCUGGCAUGUGCACGUCCUUGCUUUUUUCGUCGACCUUUCUCUUUCUUUCUUUCACACCUGUGCACCCGUUGUAGGUCCUCGAAAGAGGAUCUAUGUUCUCUAUCACACCCGAUCGUCGUAUGUCCAUAGAAUGUAACGAAUAAAAUACAACUUUCAGCAACGGAUCUCUUGGCUCUC
rnacentral:misc_RNA from 1 species